rnacentral:rRNA from 1 species
CCCUUAGAUGUCCUGGGCCGCACGCGCGCUACAAUGACAUGUGCAACAAGUUUUUUUCCUGACUCGGAAGGGUUCGGGUAAUCUUGAUAAUGCAUGUCGUGUUAGGGAUAGAUCUUUGCAAUUAUGGAUCUUGAACGAGGAAUUCCUAGUAAGUGCAAGUCAUCAGCUUGUACUGAUUACGUCCCUGCCCUUUGUACACACCGCCCGUCGCUCCUACCGAUUGAGUGGUCCGGUGAGGCUUUGGGAUCUGAGCGGAAAGAGCGUUUCGCUGUUUCUGCUCGGAAAACUCAGUCGAACCUUAUCAUUUAGAGGAAGGAGAAGUCGUAACA